GAGUUUGAUCCUGGCUCAGGAUGAACGCUAGCGACAGGCUUAACACAUGCAAGUCGAGGGGCAGCACAGGUAGCAAUACCGGGUGGCGACCGGCGCACGGGUGAGUAACGCGUAUGCAACUUACCUAUCAGAGGGGGAUAACCCGGCGAAAGUCGGACUAAUACCGCAUGAAGCAGGGGCCCCGCAUGGGGAUAUUUGCUAAAGAUUCAUCGCUGAUAGAUAGGCAUGCGUUCCAUUAGGCAGUUGGCGGGGUAACGGCCCACCAAACCGACGAUGGAUAGGGGUUCUGAGAGGAAGGUCCCCCACAUUGGUACUGAGACACGGACCAAACUCCUACGGGAGGCAGCAGUGAGGAAUAUUGGUCAAUGGGCGUAAGCCUGAACCAGCCAAGUCGCGUGAGGGAUGAAGGUUCUAUGGAUCGUAAACCUCUUUUAUAAGGGAAUAAAGUGCGGGACGUGUCCUGUUUUGUAUGUACCUUAUGAAUAAGGAUCGGCUAACUCCGUGCCAGCAGCCGCGGUAAUACGGAGGAUCCGAGCGUUAUCCGGAUUUAUUGGGUUUAAAGGGUGCGUAGGCGGCCUUUUAAGUCAGCGGUGAAAGUCUGUGGCUCAACCAUAGAAUUGCCGUUGAAACUGGGGGGCUUG
rnacentral:rRNA from 1 species